rnacentral:rRNA from 1 species
GAUGAACGCUGGCGGCGUGCCUAACACAUGCAAGUCGAGCGUGAUUUAUGAGGACGAAACUUCGGUCUAGGAAUCAUAAUGAAAGCGGCGGACGGGUGAGUAACGCGUAGGCAACCUGCCCUUGACACAGGGAUAGCCUCGGGAAACCGGGAUUAAAACCUGAUGACGCCAAACAGUCACAUGGCUGUUUGGCCAAAGAUUUAUCGGUCAAGGAUGGGCCUGCGUCUGAUUAGUUAGUUGGUGGGGUAACGGCCUACCAAGACGACGAUCAGUAGCCGACCUGAGAGGGUGAUCGGCCACAUUGGAACUGAGACACGGUCCAAACUCCUACGGGAGGCAGCAGUGGGGAAUAUUGCACAAUGGGCGAAAGCCUGAUGCAGCAACGCCGCGUGAGCGAUGAAGGCCUUUGGGUCGUAAAGCUCUGUCCUUGGGGAAGAAACAAAUGACGGUACCCAAGGAGGAAGCCCCGGCUAACUACGUGCCAGCCGCCGCGGUAACAC